rnacentral:rRNA from 1 species
AUGUGCAGGGCAAAGAGGGAGGGUGGCAUGGGUUUCCGAGAUCCGGAGGUGUUCAACCAAGCAUUGUUGGCUAAACAGGCGUGGAGGAUCUUGCAGAACCCCACCUCUCUCUGCGCCCGAGUUCUUAAAGCUCGGUAUUUCUCUGAGGGAUCAAUUAUGACAGCUACGUGCCCAAGUGGGGGAUCAUACACUUUUCGAAGCAUUUUGCAUGGA